UUCUAUGGCCAUGCCACCAUAAAUGUGCUCGAUCUCAUCUGAUCUCGGAACCUAAGCAGGGUUGGGCCUGGUUAGUACUUGGAUCGGAGACCACCUAGGAAGACCAGGUACUGUAGGCG
rnacentral:rRNA from 1 species